CAAAAGCGUAUUAUAAAGUUGCUGCAGUUAAAAAGCUCGUAGUUGGAUUUCUGACUUGAAAAGUCUGUUUCGCCUCCAACGAGGCUUGAUAACGGUACUUUUUGGUCAUCCUUCGUGGCGACCAAUCUGGGUUCUUUAUUGUAAUUCGGAUUGUGAGCCCGAUCUGUUACUUUGAAAAAAUUAGAGUGUUCAAAACAGGCUUACGCUUGAAUACAUUAGCAUGAAAUAACAAUAUAGGACUUUGGUCUUAUUUUGUUGGUUUUCGAGACUAAAGUAAUGAUUGAUAGAGAAGAUUGGGGGUGCUAGUAUUCAACGGCCAGAGGUGAAAUUCAGUGAUUCGUUGAAGACUAUCUAAUGCGAAAGCAUUCACCAAGGACUUCUUCUUUAA
rnacentral:rRNA from 1 species